ensembl:lncRNA
UGUUUUUUUUUUUUGUUUUAUUUAUUUUUUUAUUAAUAAGCAGUUUUGAUCAAAUAUUUUUGCAAGAAUUAAAAAUAAAUGAUAAUGCCAACUACUUAAUUUUCAGGAAUUUCAUUUUUAAUUCUUUCAUCUUUUUUUUUUUCUUUUUUUUUGUAUGAUUUCAGGACAGUCAUUUCACCCUGACAUUUUUGAGUUUAUCCAUAUGUUCUUUUAGAGCAAAGCAUCCGUUCAGUGGCUGAAGGACGUUCUUGUUGAAGAACAGACUCACUGUGUUCUUCAUGAGUUCCUUACACACCAUCUCAGAGCUCGCGGAGCCUGACGAGUCUCUGGAGCUUGCGUCUGGAGCUCAGCGCAUCCACCGGACCAGCAAAGACUGGAGUUUAACACAUGAAGAGCUUCAAGUGCCUACUAGACACCAUGAUAGACAGACAACUAAACGGACAAGCAAGUCACCUUCUCAUAAGCAGGUGAAUCUGCCGCAGUGGCUGGUGAAUCUGAUGUGGGACAUCGAGGAGGCCACGACACAUGAGCUGACCAUUGAGUGAAGAUCCCUCAGACUGUGAGCUUUAACAGCCAACACAUCUUCUUCUUUCACCUCUCUUGACAUCUGAGGUCAUCAUUGGUUUUCGUAUAAUUUUUUUUUUUUUUUCUGAAGUUUAAUUCUCCAUCUCCAGUGGCCUGUUUUUGUUCUUCUUGCACAAGCUAUGGCUGGACUUGUGUGGGUGGGAUGUAAAUGAUUUGCUCGUGGUGUGUGCGUAUAGGCACUGAUGGACCUACAGCAAUCCUGAAGAACCUCAGCCGUGUUUGUUAGAGCAGAUAAACAAAGCUUGAACUCAUAAGAUUUGCUCACCAUUAAAGCUUGAUUUAAUUAUUAAUGCUACUGGAAUCACAAAUCUGUAGUGUCUGAAAAACUGACUGAACUAUUGGUUGACCUCACGCAAGAGAUCUUGGUGUCCAAAGUUGGACUAAUACUACACCAGGAACUCUUAAUUACUGCACAGGCACCUCAAGAUAAACAUGUUAUGAUGGCUGAAGACCUCAGAUUAACCCGUCCUGUUAUGCAACGACCACAUGACCUUGUUUUUGUGACCCAACUCAAAGUGUGGUCAAAAACACAUGGUUGAGAUAUGCUCGCAUAACUCCUGUUGUGUGACAGGCAAAUGUGUUUACAUGCUACACUAUUGUUAUACAUGCUCAGAAAAAUGAGACUACAAAAACUGUCACUGGGAUGAUACCUUUUCAAAAGAUUACUGCAGUUACAUUUUAGCACUUGAAGUGUGUGUAGUAGUACCUUUUGAAAGGGUGCCAUCCUAGUUUUUUUUUUUUUGAGAGUGCAGAUGAUAAACAGCAGCAUCAUGAACCUGUUUCUGGUGAAACAGGUCACAGAUGUUGUUGUCUAGAGUAAACAUUGAUGUCUGCGCAACCAGAGCAAACUUGUGCGCCGAAAACAGCAUAAUUAAUACAGGCGAGUGUGUCAAUGAUUAACUCCUCUGAGGUCAUCAUGUCACGGUAUAAAACACAGCACACAGGCACAGAGAGCAGAUC